rnacentral:tRNA from 1 species
GGUUGUGGGUCAGUGGUAGAGCGCUUGCCUUGUACAUGUGAGGCCUUGGGUUCAAUCCUCAGCACCA